UACCAGCACCCCGAGUGGUCGGGACGAUUAUUGGGCCUAAAGCAUCCGUAGCCGGUUUUACGAGUCCCCCGUUAAAUCCAGCUGCUUAACAGAUGGGCUGCGGAGGAUACUAUAAGACUAGGAGGCAGGAGAGGCAAGCGGUACUCAGUGGGUAGGGGUAAAAUCCGUUGAUCCAUUGAAGACCACCAGUGGCGAAGGCGGCUUGCCAGAAUGCGCUCGACGGUGAGGGAUGAAAGCUGGGGGAGCAAACCGG
rnacentral:rRNA from 1 species